CCCUUAGAUGUUCUGGGCAGCACGCUCGCUACAAUGGUCUUCGCAAACGGAUGCAUUCUCGAAGGAGAAUGCCAAUCUUGGAAUCUAUGCCUUGGUCGGGACAGUUGCUUGCAAUUUUUCGACUCGAACCAGGAAUUCCUUGUAAUCGUGAUUCAUCACAUCACGAUGAAUACGUCCCUGCCCUUUGUACACACCGCCCGUCGCUCCUACCGAUCGAAGAGUUAGGUGAAUUGUUUUGAUCGAUAAGAUUUGACUAUGGUCAACUCUCGUUGUGAAAUUCUGUGAAUCUGACUGUUUAGAGGAAGGAAAAGUCGUAACA
rnacentral:rRNA from 1 species